GGGAACAAUUCGAUAGUUAACAAUUUGGCAUAAUUGUCAUCAUGCCUAUCUAAUCUAAAGAAUCCACCUGUGUUCAGCAGGACACAGCACUUUUGUUUGUUUCUGGAUAAAACUGGGAGGUUAAGUCAGCUCAGGGCUUCAUUCUGGUGAAGCC
rnacentral:lncRNA from 1 species